rnacentral:rRNA from 1 species
UACGUAGGGUGCGAGCGUUGUCCGGAAUUAUUGGGCGUAAAGAGCUUGUAGGCGGUUUGUCGCGUCUGCCGUGAAAAUCCGGGGCUCAACCCCGGACUUGCGGUGGGUACGGGCAGACUAGAGUGUGGUAGGGGAGACUGGAAUUCCUGGUGUAGCGGUGAAAUGCGUAGAUAUCGGGAGGAACACCAGUGGCGAAGGCGGCUUUCUGGCCCGUUCUUGACGCUGAGGCGCGAAAGCUAGGGUAGCAAACGGG